AGGAAUCUGCCUAUUAGUGGGGGACAACAUCUCGAAAGGGAUGCUAAUACCGCAUACGUCCUACGGGAGAAAGCAGGGGAUCACUUGUGACCUUGCGCUAAUAGAUGAGCCUAAGUCGGAUUAGCUAGUUGGUGGGGUAAAGGCCUACCAAGGCGACGAUCUGUAGCGGGUCUGAGAGGAUGAUCCGCCACACUGGGACUGAGACACGGCCCAGACUCCUACGGGAGGCAGCAGUGGGGAAUAUUGGACAAUGGGGGGAACCCUGAUCCAGCCAUGCCGCGUGUGUGAAGAAGGCCUUAUGGUUGUAAAGCACUUUAAGCGAGGAGGAGGCUCUUUUGGUUAAUACCCAAGAUGAGUGGACGUUACUCGCAGAAUAAGCACCGGCUAACUCUGUGCCAGCAGCCGCGGUAAUACAGAGGGUGCAAGCGUUAAUCGGAUUUACUGGGCGUAAAGCGCGCGUAGGCGGCCAAUUAAGUCAAAUGUGAAAUCCCCGAGCUUAACUUGGGAAUUGCAUUCGAUACUGGUUGGCUAGAGUGUGGGAGAGGAUGGUAGAAUUCCAGGU
rnacentral:rRNA from 1 species